CGAGCAGAGUGGCUGAGGAGGAAACGGCCAGGAGCUGGGGGAGUGGAGAAGGGAUGACUUUCCUCUGAUGUCAAAAAUCCCAUCAUUCAGUGCUCGCCGUGAAAAAGGCGAGAGGAGAAGAAUGUGGAGAGAGGGAGAGGGACAGGGAGAAGAAAUGAAGGGAAAGGACACGCUCGUUUUUCUCCUGAACCUUGUAGGCUAAGCUUGUCCACCUUGGCAGGAUGGAGAAAUGAGGCUGAUCCCGAAUGCCAAGCCCUGCAGAGCCUUGCAAGCCCCAGGGAUUGUUCCCAUCCCCAUCCCGAUCUGGACUUGGUUAGUACUGCCUUGGUAUGAAUAAUCAGGGAGAUAAAAAAUUGUCAAGAAACUUACAGCAGUUUCCACAGGGCUCUCUUUGCCUUUAGCUUUUAUUUCUGGCAGAUUGAAUUUCCUGCUCACUGUGGUCGUGCCUGAUCCUCACAGGAUUUUUGCAGGGCUGGGAGGAAGGAUCAGGGCUGGAUGGAAGUGGAGAAGCAGCAGAGCUGGAGCUGCCCUGGAGCUCUGUCCAGGUUCCCAUUUCUUCCUUCUGAGGGGCUGAAUAUCAAAAAGAACCGUGUUUGGGGCAAACCAAGAACUGAGCAGAUCCUCUUUUAUUUCCACUCAUUUUCAGGGUGUUUUCUCCCAAACCAAGACAAGCAGUCAGGUGAGUCAAACGUGGAUCCCCUCAUGGAAUGCUUCUCCUGCCUGGGGUGACAUCCACAGGGAACCCCCUGAGGCUGAGCACAGGGAAUUCCCUCUCCUGUGCUUUUGUCCCGGGUAGAAAGCAAGGAUGACGCUCCUUAGGGAGCUUUGGGUUCCUGUUUUGGAAUGUGCUGCCCUCAGCACCACCCCUCACUCAGAGAAUCCCAGAAAGGUCUCGGGUUUGAUGGGACUUUAAACCCCACCUCAUUCCAGUCCCUGCCAUGGGAAGGCUUUUCCUUGGAGCUGGCAGUGGGAUGAGGCUCCGAGGCACAGCCCAUGAAAUUGUUUUUCAAUUCGUGUGCGCUGCUGUUGGUUUUGCAGAGUCCUGGAUUCUCGUGUGAGGAUGGAAAUCCUCAUCUCCCCCAAAGCAGGGCACAGAAGGAGCAGGAGAAGCAGGUGCUGAACACUCCCCCUGAGCUGUCCCUCAGCAGGAGAGCAGUUGGGAUGGGGAAGAGAGGGAAGGAUUAAAGAGAGAUGAAUUUCCUGCACCCAAACCAAGGAGCAACAAAAAAAACCAGAAAACCCCACCAAGUUUAAUCCUGUCCCAGACAAGGCCAGCAGGCACCACACACAAAUAGCUCAGGCUUUGAUUCCAUCUGCCCCUUCCUAAAAGUGGAAGGUGAAAAUACUACAUCCAAGUGCCUGCUUUGGGCACGGGCACCAAGGGGGAGGAAGGAGAGGGUGUUCCAUAGGGACAGAUGACCCCAGCGUGCUGGGAGAGCCAAGCCCAGUGUCUGAGUGGGUCAGACAUUGUUAGAUCUGGCAGGGAGUCAGACAUCUGCCAGGGAACGGGGAUUUUGUCAGGAGAAGUGGGAGAGAGAGAGAGAGGGAGAGACGCAGCGAGAGCCUCGCAGCGUUCUGUAUCAGCCCGGAUAACACUUCCUCUUUAAAAUUCCCUUACUAAGCUGGGCUCCUAUAUUUUAUAUUCAGCAGCGAGGUCCCCGCCCCCCCAGCCCUCCCCACCCACCGCCACCCUGGCUGCCUU
ensembl:lncRNA